UCUCUCCUGUUCCUUCCUGCACUUCUCUUUUCUCCCACUCUCCUCUGAAUUUUGUAAAACCACCGUUCUUUCCUCUCUUCCUCCCUUUCCUCCAGUCUCUGUUUACUAAAGCUCUUUAUUUCUGUCACACUGAUGCUGCCACGUCGAUGGAUUCUCUUUUUGUGGCCUGCUUUGCAGCCUUAUCUACCACAAAAAUAUGACUGCAAUGCCCAUCAUUUCAGAAUCAGCUUUAUUUGCCAGCACCGCGAACACACUCGCUAGAAUUCCUCCUGCUUCAUCACUAAUCCUCUUCACUGCUGGAACAAUAAAAGCUCCUUCUAUCUUAUGAA